rnacentral:lncRNA from 1 species
AUCUAUUUGCAUCUGUAUUAUAGUUGUAACCGCAUAUAGAUUCAAAUACAAUGUUUAGUUUAGUAUAUUUGAAUUUAAUUGCUGUAGUUGAAACUGCACAAGGAAUUAAGCUCCAAGUCUCAAAUGUAGUGGUUUAAACUACAUCUAAAUUGAUCGCAGUUUCAAUUACAGUAAUUAGAAUAUGGAUGAAAAUGAUCGGAUAUAGAUUGAAUAUUUGAUAAAAUCAUAUUUGCAUUUUAAUAGAUAGAUAUAAAUCGGGAAACAAAUAUUAAAUGGAUAGUGAAUUUGAUAAUUAUAUUUGAU